rnacentral:rRNA from 1 species
CCUACGGGCGGCAGCAGUGGGGAAUAUUGCGCACUGGGCGAAAGCCUGACGCAGCGACGCCGCGUGAGGGAUGAAGGUCUUCGGAUCGUAAACCUCUGUCAGCAGGGAAGAACGGUCACUGUGCUAAUCAGCAGUGAAUUGACGGUACCUGCAAAGGAAGCACCGGCUAACUCCGUGCCAGCAGCCGCGGUAAUACGGAGGGGGCGGGCGUUAAUCGGAUGUACUGGGCGUAAAGCGCUCGUAGGCGGUAUGUCAAGUCAAGGGUGAAAUCCCCGCGCUCAACGUGGGCACUGCCUUUGAAACUGGCAAACUGGAGUGUGUGAGAGGAUAGUGGAAUUCCAGGUGUAGGAGUGAAAUCCGUAGAUAUCUGGAGGAACAUCAGUGGCGAAGGCGACUAUCUGGCACAUAACUGACGCUGAGGAGCGAAAGCGUGGGUAGCAAACAGGAUUAGAUACCCGGGUAGUC